UGCAGUCGAGCGGUAAGGCCUUUCGGGGUACACGAGCGGCGAACGGGUGAGUAACACGUGGGUGAUCUGCCCUGCACUUCGGGAUAAGCCUGGGAAACUGGGUCUAAUACCGGAUAUGACCUCCUAUCGCAUGGUGGGUGGUGGAAAGAUUUAUCGGUGCAGGAUGGGCCCGCGGCCUAUCAGCUUGUUGGUGGGGUAAUGGCCUACCAAGGCGACGACGGGUAGCCGACCUGAGAGGGUGACCGGCCACACUGGGACUGAGACACGGCCCAGACUCCUACGGGAGGCAGCAGUGGGGAAUAUUGCACAAUGGGCGAAAGCCUGAUGCAGCGACGCCGCGUGAGGGAUGACGGCCUUCGGGUUGUAAACCUCUUUCAGCAGGGACGAAGCGCAAGUGACGGUACCUGCAGAAGAAGCACCGGCUAACUACGUGCCAGCAGCCGCGGUAAUACGUAGGGUGCAAGCGUUGUCCGGAAUUACUGGGCGUAAAGAGUUCGUAGGCGGUUUGUCGCGUCGUUUGUGAAAACCAGCAGCUCAACUGCUGGCUUGCAGGCGAUACGGGCAGACUUGAGUACUGCAGGGGAGACUGGAAUUCCUGGUGUAGCGGUGAAAUGCGCAGAUAUCAGGAGGAACACCGGUGGCGAAGGCGGGUCUCUGGGCAGUAACUGACGCUGAGGAACGAAAGCGUGGGUAGCGAACAGGAUUAGAUACCCUGGUAGUCCACGCCGUAAACGGUGGGCGCUAGGUGUGGGUUCCUUCCACGGAAUCCGUGCCGUAGCUAACG
rnacentral:rRNA from 1 species